GACGAACGCUGGCGGCGUGCUUAACACAUGCAAGUCGAACGAAGAGCGAUGGAAGCUUGCUUCUAUCAAUCUUAGUGGCGAACGGGUGAGUAACGCGUAAUCAACCUGCCCUUCAGAGGGGGACAACAGUUGGAAACGACUGCUAAUACCGCAUACGAUCUAAACUCGGCAUCGAGGAUAGAUGAAAGGUGGCCUCUACAUGUAAGCUAUCACUGAAGGAGGGGAUUGCGUCUGAUUAGCUAGUUGGAGGGGUAACGGCCUACCAAGGCGAUGAUCAGUAGCCGGUCUGAGAGGAUGAACGGCCACAUUGGGACUGAGACACGGCCCAGACUCCUACGGGAGGCAGCAGUGGGGAAUCUUCCGCAAUGGACGAAAGUCUGACGGAGCAACGCCGCGUGAGUGAUGACGGCCUUCGGGUUGUAAAGCUCUGUUAAUCGGGACGAAAGGCCUUCUUGCGAAUAG
rnacentral:rRNA from 1 species